GGAGGGGUGCAAGCGUUAAUCGGAAUUACUGGGCGUAAAGCGCGCGUAGGGCGGUCUGGUCAGUCGGGAUGUGAAAGCCCUGGGCUUAACCUGGGAAUUGCAUUCGAUACUGCCCAAACUAGAAUGUGGAAGAGGGAAGUGGAAUUUCCGGUGUAGCGGUGAAAUGCGUAGAUAUCGGAAGGAACACCAGUGGCGAAGGCGGCUUCCUGGUCCAACAUUGACGCUGAGGUGCGAAAGCGUGGGGAGCGAACAGGAUUAGAUACCCUGGUAGUCCACGCCGUAAACGAUGAGAACUAGAUGUCGGGAGGGUUUAGCCUCUCGGUGUCGCAGCUAACGCGUUAAGUUCUCCGCCUGGGGAGUACGGUGGCAAACACUA
rnacentral:rRNA from 1 species